AGUGAACGCUGGCGGUAGGCCUAACACAUGCAAGUCGAACGGCAGCACAGUAAGAGCUUGCUCUUACGGGUGGCGAGUGGCGGACGGGUGAGGAAUACAUCGGAAUCUACUUUUUCGUGGGGGAUAACGUAGGGAAACUUACGCUAAUACCGCAUACGACCUACGGGUGAAAGCAGGGGAUCUUCGGACCUUGCGCGAUUGAAUGAGCCGAUGUCGGAUUAGCUAGUUGGCGGGGUAAAGGCCCACCAAGGGGACGAUCCGUAGCUGGUGUGAGAGGAUGAUCAGCCACACUGGAACUGGGACACGGUCCAGACUCCUACGGGAGGCAGCAGUGGGGAAUAUUGGACAAUGGGCGCAAGCAUGAUCCAGCCAUACCGCGUGGGUGAAGAAGGCCUUCGGGUUGUAAAGCCCUUUUGUUGGGAAAGAAAAGCAGCAGGUUAAUACCCCGCUGUUCUGACGGUACCCAAAGAAUAAGCACCGGCUAACUUCGUG
rnacentral:rRNA from 1 species